UGGAUCAAUGAUGACCAUUGGUGGUGUAUGAAUCAUAGAUGGUGACUAAGCUCUGGAAGUCUGAGAGGUCCAC
ensembl:snoRNA